rnacentral:rRNA from 1 species
AUUGAACGCUGGCGGCAUGCCUUACACAUGCAAGUCGAACGGUAACGCGGGGCAACCUGGCGACGAGUGGCGAACGGGUGAGUAACGCAUCGGAACGUGCCCAGUAGUGGGGGAUAGCCCGGCGAAAGCCGGAUUAAUACCGCAUACGACCUACGGGUGAAAGAGGGGGAUCGCAAGACCUCUCGCUAUUGGAGCGGCCGAUGUCAGAUUAGGUAGUUGGUGGGGUAAAGGCCUACCAAGCCUACGAUCUGUAGCUGGUCUGAGAGGACGACCAGCCACACUGGGACUUAGACACGGCCCAGACUCCUACGGGAGGCAGCAGUGGGGAAUUUUGGACAAUGGGCGCAAGCCUGAUCCAGCCAUGCCGCGUGCGGGAAGAAGGCCUUCGGGUUGUAAACCGCUUUUGUCAGGGAAGAAACGCUCUGGACUAAUACUCUGGGGUAAUGACGGUACCUGAAGAAUAAGCACCGGCUAACUACGUGCCAGCCGCCGCCGUAACAC